CGAGCGUGGUGGAUGUGCGCGCGACGAAGCAGCCGGCAAGCAGCGGGGCGCGAGCGGGAGAGGUGCGGAGAAAGUGCGGAGUUGGUCACCUCAGAGCCGCCCUCCGAGUGCGGAACGCGUGGCUCUUCGCAAGAAAGUUUCUCCGCGAUGUGAGAGAGCCGCCACCUGUGCUCCAUCCGUCAGCGGCGCUGUUUAUGGUCAAAUAAACUACUGAAAAACUACAUAAACACCAUAAACCAGUCUUUCCGACCAACCACAGAAGAAACACUAGCAGCUGCUGAAGGGCAGUUGCCUUCGAAGGAUGACACUCUACAAUAAGCUGACCUAACUUCCAGUUUUGGGAAGCAUAGGAGGAAGAAUCAAGGAUCUAUGGUUCUGGUGCAUACAAACCUGUGAUGAAGUCUGCUUUCCACAUUUCUGCAUGUGAUUCUGAAGUGCAGCAUUUUAAGGAACCAAAAAAGACCACUCCUGGCCCUGGAAAAUAGCAGAAAAGAAAGUACAAUUACAGGCGGCCACUUGAAAGUGAAGAAAUAAAAGCUAUAAAGCAACUUGCUAGCAACUAGGCAUGAAAAUGGCAAAACGCCACUGAUUUGCCCGCCUUUCAUUGGAAUCAUGUUGACUGCACCAUUCAUAUGUUGACAUUAAUCUAUAAAAUGUUCGGAUCCUCAUAACCUCCAUGAAUCAAGAAACCCAUGUGUUCUUUCCCAUGUUCCGAAGUAGAGGCCCCAACCAACAGAGGAAGCUCUGUUGUAGGAACCAGAGGCUAAGCAGCGUGGUGGAUGAUUGGCUACAUGUAUUGCCUUUAAAAAAAAAAAAAGAAGAAGAAGAAGAAGAAAAAAAGAAGAAAAAGAUUAAUGCUGAUAACAAAUAUAAGCAAGCGGAAAGAAAGAGUACCUUCAGAAGAGAAUUCUGAGUGUCAUCCUGCUAAAAGACUUAAGGGACAGUAAUGGACCAGAGAACAGGAUGAACAACAUUGUGAUCAACAACAAUUUUUUUCCAUUGCUGCUCCUUAAUAUACUAUUCUCUGUAAUAAAAAAAAUGC